rnacentral:rRNA from 2 species
UUCCGGUUGAUCCCGCCGGACCUGACUGCUAUCGGAUUGAUAUUAAGCCAUGUGAGUCUUUGUAGUAAUACAAGGCAGACGGCUCAGUAACGCGUAGUCAACCUACCCUAUGGACGGGAAUAAUCUCGGGAAACUGAGUAUAAUACCCGACAGACCAUCAUUCCUGGAAUGGUUGGUGGUUAAAAUGAUUCGUCGCCGUAGGAUGGGACUGCGACUUAUCAGCUUGUUGGUGGGGUAAAGGCCCACCAAGGCUAUUACAGGUACGGGCUCUGAGAGGAGAAGCCCGGAGAUGGGUACUGAGAUACGGACCCAGGCCCUAUGGGGCGCAGCAGGCGAGAAAACUUUGCAAUGUGCGAAAGCACGACAAGGUUAAUCCGAGUGAUUUCUGCUAAAGGAAUCUUUUGCAAGUCAUAAAACCACUAGUGAAUAAGGGGUGGGCAAGUUCUGGUGUCAGCCGCCGCGGUAAAACCAGCACCUCAAGUGGUCAGGAGGAUUAUUGGGCCUAAAGCAUCCGUAGCCUGCUCUGUAAGUUUUCGGUUAAAUCUAUGCGCUCAACGUAUAGGCCGCCGAAAAUACUGCAGUGCUAGGAAGUGGGAGAGGUAGACGGUACUUGGUAGGAAGGGGUAAAAUCCUUUGAUCUAUCGAUGACCACCUGUGGCGAAGGCGGUCUACCAGAACACGUUCGACGGUGAGGGAUGAAAGCUGGGGGAGCAAACCGGAUUAGA